rnacentral:rRNA from 1 species
GACGAACGCUGGCGGCGUGCUUAACACAUGCAAGUCGAACGGUGAAGCGCCUUCCUUUUUGGUGGGUGUGGAUGAGUGGCGAACGGGUGAGUAACACGUGAGUAACCUGCCCCCUUCUUCUGGAUAACCGCAUGAAAGUGUGGCUAAUACGGGAUAUUCUGGGUCUGUCGCAUGAUGGGUCUGGGAAAGAUAUUGUUUCGGUGGGGGAUGGGCUCGCGGCCUAUCAGCUAGUUGGUGGGGUGAUGGCCUACCAAGGCGGUGACGGGUAGCCGGCCUGAGAGGGUGGACGGUCACACUGGGACUGAGACACGGCCCAGACUCCUACGGGAGGCAGCAGUGGGGAAUAUUGCACAAUGGGCGCAAGCCUGAUGCAGCGACGCCGCGUGAGGGAUGGAGGCCUUCGGGUUGUGAACCUCUUUCGCCAGUGAAGCAGGCCUGCCUCGUUUGUGGGUGGGUUGACGGUAGCUGGAUAAGAAGCGCCGGCUAACUACGUG